rnacentral:rRNA from 1 species
AGUGAACGCUGGCGGUAGGCCUAACACAUGCAAGUCGAACGGCAGCACAGUAAGAGCUUGCUCUUACGGGUGGCGAGUGGCGGACGGGUGAGGAAUACAUCGGAAUCUACUUUUUCGUGGGGGAUAACGUAGGGAAACUUACGCUAAUACCGCAUACGACCUACGGGUGAAAGCAGGGGAUCUUCGGACCUUGCGCGAUUGAAUGAGCCGAUGUCGGAUUAGCUAGUUGGCGGGGUAAAGGCCCACCAAGGCGACGAUCCGUAGCUGGUCUGAGAGGAUGAUCAGCCACACUGGAACUGAGACACGGUCCAGACUCCUACGGGAGGCAGCAGUGGGGAAUAUUGGGCAACGGGCGCAAGCCUGAUCCAGCCAUACCGCGUGGGUGAAGAAGGCCUUCGGGUUGUAAAGCCCUUUUGUUGGGAAAGAAAAGCAGCAGGUUAAUACCCCGCUGUUCUGACGGUACCCAAAGAAUAAGCACCGGCUAACUUCGUG